rnacentral:misc_RNA from 1 species
UUGAAAAUGAAAAUAUGGGAGGUUGAUGAUCCUGAGUGUGUUAGUUUGAUGAGAUUUUGGUAACUAAUUAUUACCAGUGAUACUAAUUUUGAAAAAUUAUAGACCGACAAAUUUCGAGUUUAGUGAUAGUGCUUUUUGUCAAUAAAAAUACUCGCCGAAUGUGAAAAUAAAAAAGGCGCGCAUUUUUAGCCUUGUGCUUGGAACAAAGCACACGCCUAGGCACAUAAGGCGAGG